CACAUGUAUUAUUAUUACAAGGCCAUAAAUUAAGACAGCGCAGUUUGACUGACGAAAUCACUAAACGAGCUUGUCGUGCCAAUAUUGAAGAAUUCAUUCGAUGCAAAGUAGAAAAUGGUCUUCAAGACGUUGUAGUUCUCUUUCGGAACUGUCUUCAACAAGUGCGAUUUUAUCAAACUUAUCAUCAAUUAAUUAACUUUCUUUGUAAAACUAGAACACAA